rnacentral:rRNA from 1 species
UGGGGAAUAUUGCACAAUGGGCGCAAGCCUGAUGCAGCGACGCCGCGUGAGGGAUGACGGCCUUCGGGUUGUAAACCUCUUUCAGCAGGGGAGAAGCGAAAGUGACGGUACCUGCAGAAGAAGCGCCGGCUAACUACGUGCCAGCAGCCGCGGUAAUACGUAGGGCGCGAGCGUUGUCCGGAAUUAUUGGGCGUAAAGAGCUUGUAGGCGGUUUGUCGCGUCUGCUGUGAAAGCCCGGGGCUUAACUCC